GACAGCAGCAGCCGCGGGAAUACGAAGGGUGCAAGCGUUACUCGGAACUACUGGGCGUAAAGCGUGUGUAGGUGGUUGUUUAAGUCUGUCGUGAAAGCCCUGGGCUCAACCUGGGAAUUGCGAUGGAUACUGGGCGACUAGAGUGCGGUAGAGGAUAGUGGAAUUUCCGGUGUAGCAGUGAAAUGCGUAGAGAUCGGAAGGAACAUCAGUGGCGAAGGCGGCCAUCUGGGACAACACUGACGCUGAGGCACGAAAGCGUGGGGAGCAAACAGGAUUAGAUACCCCCGUAGUCCCUGUCUCUUAUAC
rnacentral:rRNA from 1 species